CUCUGUCUCAAUCGCCGGGGUCUCCUCUUAAGUUCCCAUUCGGUGAAUGCAGUUCUCCUUCUCUGAUGUCUGUCGAUCCGAUCACCGUACACAACUUUUCUUUCGAUCCGCCCAAUAAAUAGCGCAACCCCUCCACCUUUUGUCCUAUUGACCUACCGGGGCCCCUCUGACGGGCUGUACAAACAGUGUUAUCGCGUCCGCCACUCCUUCCGGGGGCGUGUGACGCCACCGGCAUUCUCGGCCUUCCGCAAGCAGUG
rnacentral:lncRNA from 1 species